rnacentral:rRNA from 1 species
CCUUUAACAGGGGGAUAACACUGAGAAAUUGGUACUAAUACCCCAUAAUAUCAUAGAAGGCAUCUUUUAUGGUUGAAAAUUCCGAUGGUUAGAGAUGGGCAUGCGUUGUAUUAGCUAGUUGGUGGGGUAACGGCUCACCAAGGCGACGAUACAUAGGGGGACUGAGAGGUUAACCCCCCACACUGGUACUGAGACACGGACCAGACUCCUACGGGAGGCAGCAGUGAGGAAUAUUGGUCAAUGGACGCAAGUCUGAACCAGCCAUGCCGCGUGCAGGAUGACGGCUCUAUGAGUUGUAAACUGCUUUUGUACGAGGGUAAACGCAGAUACGUGUAUCUGUCUGAAAGUAUCGUACGAAUAAGGAUCGGCUAACUCCGUGCCAGCAGCCGCGGUAAUACGGAGGAUUCAAGCGUUAUCCGGAUUUAUUGGGUUUAAAGGGUGCGUAGGCGGUUUGAUAAGUUAGAGGUGAAAUUUCGGGGCUCAACCCUGAACGUGCCUCUAAUACUGUUGAGCUAGAGAGUAGUUGCGGUAGGCGGAAUGUAUGGUGUAGCGGUGAAAUGCUUAGAGAUCAUACAGAACACCGAUUGCGAAGGCAGCUUACCAAACUAUAUCUGACGUUGAGGCACGAAAGCGUGGGGAGCAAACAGGAUUAGAUACCCUGGUAGUCCACGCAGUAAACGAUGGUAACUCGUUGUCGGCGAUACACAGUCGGUGACU